CCCUUAGAUGUUCUCGGCCGCACACGCGCUACACUGAAAGAGGCAACGUGUUUGCCUGAUUCGAAAGAAUUGGGUAACCCGCGAAUCUCCUUCGUGCUAGGGAUUGAGGUUUGCAAUUAUCCUUCAUGAACGAGGAAUUCCCAGUAAGUGCAAGUCAUAAGCUUGCGCUGACUACGUCCCUGCCCUUUGUACACACCGCCCGUCGCUACUACCGAUUGAAUGAUUUAGUGAGGACUUCGGACUGGGACCGAUGCGGCUUUCGGGCUGCGUCGGUAUUCUGGAAAGAUGUCCAAACUGUAUCAUUUAGAGGAAGUAAAAGUCGUAACA
rnacentral:rRNA from 1 species